CUCCAGAUGUUGCUGAACUACAACUCCCAUGAUUCUAUGAAUUAAAUAGGCCGAGAAUCAUGGGAUUUGUAGUUCAGCAACAUCUGGAG
rnacentral:miRNA from 1 species